rnacentral:rRNA from 1 species
UACGGGGGGGGCAAGCGUUGUUCGGAAUUACUGGGCGUAAAGGGCUCGUAGGCGGCCAACUAAGUCAGACGUGAAAUCCCUAGGCUCAACCUAGGAACUGCGUCUGAUACUGGAUGGCUUGAAUCCGGGAGAGGGAUGCAGAAUUCCAGGUGUAGCGGUGAAAUGCGUAGAUAUCAGGAGGAACACCGGUGGCGAAGGCGGUUCUCUGGGCAUUACCUGACGCUGAGGAGCGAAAGUGUGGGGAGCGAACAGG